rnacentral:rRNA from 1 species
GAUGAACGCUGGCGGCGUGCCUAAUACAUGCAAGUCGAGCGAACGGACGAGAAGCUUGCCUCUCUGAUGUUAGCGGCGGACGGGUGAGUAACACGUGUAUAACCUACCUAUAAGACUGGGAUAACUUCGGGAAACCGGAGCUAAUACCGGAUGAUAUUUUGAACCGCAUGGUUCAAAAGUGAAAGACGGUCUUGCUGUCACUUAUAGAUGGAUCCGCGCUGCAUUAGCUAGUUGGUAAGGUAACGGCUUACCAAGGCAACGAUGCAUAGCCGACCUGAGAGGGUGAUCGGCCACACUGGAACUGAGACACGGUCCAGACUCCUACGGGAGGCAGUAGUAGGGAAUCUUCCGCAAUGGGCGAAAGCCUGACGGAGCAACGCCGCGUGAGAGAUGAAGGUCUUCGGAUCGUAAAACUCUGUUAUUAGGGAAGAACAUAUGUGUAAGUAACUGUGCACAUCUUGACGGUACCUAAUAAGAAAGCCACGGCUAACUACGUG